GAAAUGCGAUACUUGGUGUGAAUUGCAGAAUCCCGUGAACCAUCGAGUCUUUGAACGCAAGUUGCGCCCGAAGCCAUUAGGUUGAGGGCACGUCUACCUGGGCGCCUCACGUUGCAUCACCCGCGCCGCCUCCCCCGAAGGGGGGAAGAAGGGCUACGGGCGGAUGUUGGCCCCCUGCGUGCGCCCGCGCGCAGUCGGCCUAAAAGUGAGUCCCCGCGAUGGACGACGAGUCGUGACGAGUGGUGGUUGACAAACUGUUGGGUCGCCUCGCGCGCAUCCGGGCCGUCUCGAGAGGCCUGUCGUGACCCUAUCACGCCGCCGCCAAGGCGCUCCAAUCGCAACCCCAGGUCAGGUAGGAUUAUCCAUUGAGUUUAA
rnacentral:misc_RNA from 1 species